rnacentral:lncRNA from 1 species
UAGUUCUUGAGCCUCAUGGGCAUAUAUAUAGGAGGACAUGAUAUAUUUGGAGUACAAAACAAGUCGUAAUACUUCCUAGUCUACCCUAUAUUUUCAAUACAAUCACGAUACUCAACAUCUUCAAUAUUUAAGCACAUAUCAUGAUUUACUGUGCCAUGUGAUGAAAAUAAUGGUACUAAUUUUCAAAAGUAAAUAUCAAUAAGAUGAACUAGAUGGCACUAAAUAAUGUCCAAUCACAUUCAUGGAUGAGUAGCCUCCAAGUGAAAUUUAUAAAGAGACAUUCACACCUCUUCUUUCGUUUUCUUUUUCUAAAAUUAAGAGACAAACGAGAGGGACGCAAGUUUCUCUAAUCUUCAUUUAUUGAAGAUAAUUUUGUAGCCCCAACUUUGAAAUGGUCAAAUGAAGGAGACUAUAUAAUAACAUCAAGAAAAUCAGAGACAAAAGCAUGAGUUUACAAAACAAGAUCAACGAAUUUAAAUACGAUCUUGUACAUAUCGAAACAGGCUUCCGCCCCGCUUUGUAUUACAAAACAACCACUUUCGGUACAUCGAGCGAUAGGUGCUGGGGUGGAAACAACACAAGCACGUCCAAAAGAAACAACAAAGAAAGAGUAAAAAAACAAAUGCCGACAAUGGCGGAUCAACGAAAACGGAGAAGCCUCGCGAUCGCUGCGCCCAUCGAAGAACACCCACCAAGCUCCUAGACUCCGAGACGCCGAUACCAAUCAACACCUCCAAGAAGGGACGCGACAAUGACGAC